AAGUCAUUGAUGCCAUGCUUCCAGGAAAAGCCUCUAAGCUUCAGAUAGUCAGGAAUCGUACCCCAAACCGACACAGGUGGUCGGGUAGAGAAUACCAAGGCGCUUGAGAGAACUCGGGUGAAGGAACUAGGCAAAAUGGUACCGUAACUUCGGGAGAAGGUACGCUCUUGAUGGUGAAGUCCCUCGCGGAUGGAGCUGACGAGAGUCGCAGAUACCAGGUGGCUGCAACUGUUUAUUAAAAACACAGCACUGUGCAAAAUCGCAAGAUGACGUAUACGGUGUGACGCCUGCCCGGUGCCGGAAGGUUAAUUGAUGGGGUUAGCGCAAGCGAAGCUCUUGAUCGAAGCCCCGGUAAACGGCGGCCGUAACUAUAACGGUCCUAAGGUAGCGAAAUUCCUUGUCGGGUAAGUUCCGACCUGCACGAAUGGCGUAAUGAUGGCCACGCUGUCUCCACCCGAGACUCAGUGAAAUUGAAAUCGCUGUGAAGAUGCAGUGUACCCGCGGCUAGACGGAAAGACCCCGUGAACCUUUACUACAGCUUGGCACUGAACAUUGAACCUACAUGUGUAGGAUAGGUGGGAGGCUAUGAAGACGUGACGCUAGUUGCGUUGGAGCCGUCCUUGAAAUACCACCCUUGUAUGUUUGAUGUUCUAACUUAGCCCCAUUAUCUGGGGUGAGGACAGUGCCUGGUGGGUAGUUUGACUGGGGCGGUCUCCUCCCAAAGAGUAACGGAGGAGCACGAAGGUGGGCUAAUCACGGUUGGACAUCGUGAGGUUAGUGCAAUGGCAUAAGCCCGCUUAACUGCGAGAAUGACGGUUCGAGCAGGUGCGAAAGCAGGUCAUAGUGAUCCGGUGGUUCUGUAUGGAAGGGCCAUCGCUCAACGGAUAAAAGGUACUCCGGGGAUAACAGGCUGAUACCGCCCAAGAGUUCAUAUCGACGGCGGUGUUUGGCACCUCGAUGUCGGCUCAUCACAUCCUGGGGCUGAAGUCGGUCCCAAGGGUAUGGCUGUUCGCCAUUUAAAGUGGUACGCGAGCUGGGUUUAGAACGUCGUGAGACAGUUCGGUCCCUAUCUGCCGUGGGCGUUGGAAGAUUGAAGGGGGCUGCUCCUAGUACGAGAGGACCGGAGUGGACGAACCUCUGGUGUUCGGGUUGUGUCGCCAGACGCAUUGCCCGGUAGCUAAGUUCGGAAUUGAUAAGCGCUGAAAGCAUCUAAGCGCGAAGCGAGCCCUGAGAUGAGUCUUCCCUGAUACUUUAAGUAUCCUAAAGGGUUGUUCGAGACUAGAACGUUGAUAGGCAGGGUGUGUAAGCGUUGUGAGGCGUUGAGCUAACCUGUACUAAUUGCCCGUGAGGCUUAACCAUACAACACCCAAGGGGUUUUGUA
rnacentral:rRNA from 2 species